rnacentral:tRNA from 1 species
AGGGGCGUAGCUCAAUUGGCAGAGCACCGGUUUCCAAAACCGGGGGUUGCAGGUUCGACUCCUGCCGCCCCUG